UACGUAGGGUCCGAGCGUUGUCCGGAAUUACUGGGCGUAAAGAGCUCGUAGGUGGUUUGUCGCGUUGUUCGUGAAAACUCACAGCUCAACUGUGGGCGUGCGGGCGAUACGGGCAGACUAGAGUACUGCAGGGGAGACUGGAAUUCCUGGUGUAGCGGUGGAAUGCGCAGAUAUCAGGAGGAACACCGGUGGCGAAGGCGGGUCUCUGGGCCGUAACUGACGCUGAGGAGCGAAAGCGUGGGUAGCAAACGGG
rnacentral:rRNA from 1 species